rfam:Triticum aestivum genome assembly, contig: Triticum_aestivum_CS42_TGACv1_scaffold_434941_5DL
GCUGUUGUUAGAGCAAUUGACUGCAGAUCAAUAGGUCACCGGUUCGAACCCGGU